rnacentral:rRNA from 1 species
GGCUAACUCCGUGCCAGCAGCCGCGGUAAUACGGAGGAUCCGAGCGUUAUCCGGAUUUAUUGGGUUUAAAGGGUGCGUAGGCGGCGCAUUAAGUCAGUGGUGAAAGGUAACCGCUUAACGGGGACACUGCCAUUGAUACUGAUGUGCUGGAGUACAGAUGAAGUGGGCGGAAUGUGUCAAGUAGCGGUGAAAUGCAUAGAUAUGACACAGAACACCAAUUGCGAAGGCAGCUCACUAAAGUGUAACUGACGCUGAGGCACGAAAGCGUGGGGAUCGAACAGGAUUAGAUACCCUGGUAGUCCACGCCCUAAACGAUGAUUACUCGAUGUUAGCGAUACACGGUUAGCGUCAAAGCGAAAGCGUUAAGUAAUCCACCUGGGGAGUACGCCCGCAAGGGUGAAACUCAAAGGAAUUGACGGGGGCCCGCACAAGCGGAGGAGCAUGUGGUUUAAUUCGAUGAUACGCGAGGAACCUUACCCGGGCUUGAAAGUUAGUGAAUGAUACAGAGACGUAUCAGUCCUUCGGGACACGAAACUAGGUGCUGCA